UGUCCAUGGUGAACUAAACCCUAUUGUUGUUGGGGAAUACAAUGUAAUCUUUUGAUACUCUCUCUUAUUGAAACUAUUGAUUAUUUUAUAUGGUCUCCAUAUGUUUCGAUUGAUUAUUGUUGGGUUAUCAUUUGUGCUUAAGGCUUUUAUCGUUUAACUCAUUCGGUAUAUCGUUGUUUGUCGUUAUUGACAUGGGGACGUGCGGUAAUGACAUGAACUGGUGAGUAAUCUCUUGAUUUUGCAAUACCACCUAGGGAUAGGGGUAGGACGAUCAAUUGCGCUAACUUCUGUUUAUAAGGGGGUAUUAAUUACUAGGGGAGGCUAGGGAUAGCAAGCCGGUAAUUGAUAUUUGGCCCUUUUCGCCAAGGGAUCAGGUUAAGGGGAGGCUAAGAAAGUCGCAUAACAAUUUAAUCAAUCUAAUAAUCAAGGGUAGUAUGUAAGAGAGAGUGGAAUAGAUGAAAUUUUUAGUACCCAACAACAUUCAUCCAUCCAUUGUUUUCACUUGUCUAUUGAAUCAACAUUUAUUUUGCAUGUUAAUAUUUUUAUCCUUAAAUCCAAUUUAUUAAAUUUUAUUUUUCAAGUCUUAUUAUUUUAAUUCACGCGAAAGAGAAAGCCAUACGAGUCUCUUGGGAAAAAUGAUACUUGGUCU
rnacentral:lncRNA from 1 species